rnacentral:rRNA from 1 species
UCGAAAAUGUUGUCUCUCUUGAGUGGAUCCUGAGUACGACGGAGCACGUGAAAUUCCGUCGGAAUCUGGGAGGACCAUCUCCUAAGGCUAAAUACUCUCUAGUGACCGAUAGUGAACCAGUACCGUGAGGGAAAGGUGAAAAGCACCCCGGAAGGGGAGUGAAAUAGAACCUGAAACCGUGUGCUUACAAGUAGUCAGAGCCCGUUAAUGGGUGAUGGCGUGCCUUUUGUAGAAUGAACCGGCGAGUUACGAUUUGAUGCAAGGUUAAGCAGUAAAUGUGGAGCCGUAGCGAAAGCGAGUCUGAAUAGGGCGUUUAGUAUUUGGUCGUAGACCCGAAACCAGGUGAUCUACCCUUGGUCAGGUUGAAGUUCAGGUAACACUGAAUGGAGGACCGAACCGACUUACGUUGAAAAGUGAGCGGAUGAACUGAGGGUAGCGGAGAAAUUCCAAUCGAACCUGGAGAUAGCUGGUUCUCUCCGAAAUAGCUUUAGGGCUAGCCUCAAGUGAUGAUUAUUGGAGGUAGAGCACUGUUUGGACGAGGGGCCCCUCUCGGGUUACCGAAUUCAGACAAACUCCGAAUGCCAAUUAAUUUAACUUGGGAGUCAGAACAUGGGUGAUAAGGUCCGUGUUCGAAAGGGAAACAGCCCAGACCACCAGCUAAGGUCCCAAAAUAUAUGUUAAGUGGAAAAGGAUGUGGCGUUGCCCAGACAACUAGGAUGUUGGCUUAGAAGCAGCCAUCAUUUAAAGAGUGCGUAAUAGCUCACUAGUCGAGUGACACUGCGCCGAAAAUGUACCGGGGCUAAACAUAUUACCGAAGCUGUGGAUUGUCCUUUGGACAAUGGUAGGAGAGCGUUCUAAGGGCGUUGAAGCAUGAUCGUAAGGACAUGUGGAGCGCUUAGAAGUGAGAAUGCCGGUGUGAGUAGCGAAAGACGGGUGAGAAUCCCGUCCACCGAUUGACUAAGGUUUCCAGAGGAAGGCUCGUCCGCUCUGGGUUAGUCGGGUCCUAAGCUGAGGCCGACAGGCGUAGGCGAUGGAUAACAGGUUGAUAUUCCUGUACCACCUAUAAUCGUUUUA